rnacentral:rRNA from 1 species
CACGUAGGCGGCUCGGUAAGUUGGAUGUGAAAGCCCCUGGCUCAACCAGGGAACUGCAUUCAAUACUGCCGAGCUUGAGACCGGUAGGGGAGUGUGGAACUUCUAGUGUAGCGGUGAAAUGCGUAGAUAUUAGAAGGAACGCCGGUGGCGAAAGCGACACUCUGGACCGGUUCUGACGCUGAGGUGCGAAAGCUAGGGGAGCAAACAGGAUUAGAUACCCUGGUAGUCC